rnacentral:rRNA from 1 species
GUGGGGAAUCUUGCGCAAUGGGCGAAAGCCUGACGCAGCCAUGCCGCGUGAAUGAUGAAGGUCUUAGGAUUGUAAAAUUCUUUCACCGGGGACGAUAAUGACGGUACCCGGAGAAGAAGCCCCGGCUAACUUCGUGCCAGCAGCCGCGGUAAUACGAAGGGGGCUAGCGUUGCUCGGAAUUACUGGGCGUAAAGGGCGCGUAGGCGGACAGUUUAGUCAGAGGUGAAAGCCCAGGGCUCAACCUUGGAAUUGCCUUUGAUACUGGCUGUCUUGAGUACGGGAGAGGUGAGUGGAACUCCGAGUGUAGAGGUGAAAUUCGUAGAUAUUCGGAAGAACACCAGUGGCGAAGGCGACUCACUGGCCCGUUACUGACGCUGAGGCGCGAAAGCGUGGGGAGCAAACAGGAUUAGAAACCCGGUAGUCC